AUACGGAGGGUCCAAGCGUUAUCCGGAAUCAUUGGGUUUAAAGGGUCCGCAGGCGGUCAAUUAAGUCAGAGGUGAAAGCCCAUCGCUCAACGAUGGAACCGCCUUUGAUACUGGUUGACUUGAGUUAUACGGAAGUAGAUAGAAUAAGUAGUGUAGCGGUGAAAUGCAUAGAUAUUACUUAGAAUACCGAUUGCGAAGGCAGUCUACUACGUAUAUACUGACGCUGAGGGACGAAAGCGUGGGGAGCGAACAGGAUUAGAUACCCUAGUAGUCC
rnacentral:rRNA from 1 species